rfam:Picea glauca, whole genome shotgun sequence.
AUGUACAUUCCUACAACAUAGUGUUAAUGCAUUAGAUCCCAUUAGAACUCCGCAGUUAAGCACACUUAGACUAGAGUAGUACUGGGAUGGGUGACCACCCGGGAAUUCCUAGUGUUUUACAUG